rnacentral:rRNA from 1 species
UACAGAGGUCUCGAGCGUUAGGCGGAAUCACUGGGCUUAAAGCGUGUGUAGGUGGAUCGUUAAGUACCUUGUGAAAUCCCACGGCUUAACCGUGGAACUGCUUGGUAUACUGGCGGUCUUGAGCCACUUAGGGGCUACCGGAACAAAUGGUGGAGCGGUGAAAUGCGCAGAUAUCAGGAGGAACACCGGUGGCGAAGGCGGGUCUCUGGGCAGUAACUGACGCUGAGGAGCGAAAGCGUGGGGAGCGAACAGG